rnacentral:rRNA from 1 species
AUUGAACGCUGGCGGCGUGCCUAACACAUGCAAGUCGAGCGGUAACAGGUGUAGCAAUACAUGCUGACGAGCGGCGAACGGGUGAGUAAUGCUUCGGAAUCUACCUUAUGGUGGGGAAUAACUAGCCGAAAGGUUAGCUAAUACCGCAUACGUCCUACGGGAGAAAGCAGGGGAUCGCAAGACCUUGCGCCAAAAGAUGAGCCGAAGUCGGAUUAGCUAGUUGGUAGGGGAACGGCCUACCAAGGCGACGAUCCGUAGCUGGUCUGAGAGGACGACCAGCCACACUGGGACUGAGACACGGACCAGACGCCUACGGGAGGCAGCAGUGGGGAAUAUUGGACAAUGGGGGAAACCCUGAUCCAGCGACGCCGCGUGUGUGAAGAAGGCCUGCGGGUUGUAAAGCACUUUUAGUGGGGAUGAAAUGUGCAGGGUUAAUACCUCUGCAUUUUGACCUAACCCACAGAAAAAGCACCGGCUAACUCUGUGCCAGCCGCCGCCGUAA